UUUCCCUAAAAAAACACUAGACCACUCCUUCCCCCAAAUCCACGAACCCUAACCCAUUGCAGCCGCCGCCCCAAGCAUCAGAUCCCAUAGCCGCUGCCUCCGCCGCCCCCAACCGCCACCGCCGUCCCCAACCACCGCGGCCACCGCCGCCGCUGUCCCCAACCACCGCCGCCGCCAUAGUCCCCAUCACACUACGGCGACCUCUACCCGGAGCACGCCGUCGCCCCACACCAUCGCAACUCCUCCGUCGCCCCAACCACACCCCACUGUCGUGCCCUCCACCAGGACCCCCACGAGCACCCAACAAAGUCAGAGCUCGAGCCAUCGCCCCCAAGCACUUCGCCGGCGACCAUCGCUUCAGAGCCGUGCCGUCAACCCCAAGCACUCAGCCAGCGACCAUCCUCCUCCGCCGUCGUCCCUCACCACCAUCCUCCUCUGCAGACCUCCUCCCCUGAGCAGGCCCUCCGCACAAGCUCAACCGAGCACCAAGGAGGUCCUCAAGUGGCACCGCCUCCUUAUUGAGCUCCUCUGCAGCUGCACCUUCUCCAUCGGUGACACCUCCACUAGAGAUUGCCGCAUGAUGGCCUAUGCCCGCACACGUCCGCAGCCCACAGCCCACAAUUGGGUCGUACGCUUAGUAUGGCCUCUCCACGCCUGGCUAUCCAUUACCUGUGCGCAGCCACGCAGCGGGUUCCAAUCCCCACUCCUCGCCGCCAAAUGGGAGCGGCCGAUCGAGGCGACGCCAUGCGCAGGAGUGGCCAUGUCGAUCGAUGCGACUACGCCGGCUUCGUGAAUCGAUCUCGGCAAGAACAUGAUCUACUUUGUCCAAUCGUUCGUCUACACUUCAGAUUGCAGCCAAUUCUAGUUCUGUCUGGGAUAUUCAAUCUUAGUAUCUGAUGACGUAUUUUGGAGUUUCGAAAUGGAAGACAUCAUUUUCAAUGGUGCAUCAGGGUAACAUUUGCUCCAGCUCCGCCCCUGCUCACCUCUACUUCCUUGCCCGAGUAGUGCCAUGCAAUUAUAGUGAAACUGGUCAAGAAUGGACAAGAGUUGGAUGGAUAAAGCUAGAAACACACAAGCAUAUAUUGACGGGGAUAUCGGCAUGAAGAUGGACAUGAAGGUGGAUGUGGACAUGAAGGGGAAUAUGGUGGUGGAUAUGAAGCAUUUGGAAGUGGACAAGCCCAUGGCGAAAGCAGGAAUGCAACCACAAGCAAGCUGAGGAGGUAAUAUCCAUGUUUCCAAGAAUUUUUCAUGCCCUCAACUCUGUAAAUAUUUCCUAUAGUACAGUACUGAAGUUUACAAAAUGUUGUUCCUGGUUGCGUACCUUUUACAAAAUAUUUCAUAUAGGAAAUAGUACAGUACUGAUGUUUUUCAGUACUAUAUAAAUGUAUUUCAGUAUUGUACUAUAGGAAAUAUUUCAGUACUUACGAGUUUAAAUGACAACCAGAUUCUAAACUCCACUAGUGUUACAGUACUGAAGCAACCUGUACUCUGGAAAGUACCGAAGUUUACAAAAUGAAAAUUUUCAUGCCCUCAACUCUGUAUAGUACUGAUUUUUUGGCAGAUUCUAAUUUGUUAAUAUCUAGCUAUACUGGCAGCUCCUUGCUCUUCCUACUCUGGCAAUUUUUGCCUGGUUGCGUUGUUUUUCGUGUGACAAAACAGAUUCUUUAUGAUGGGUAUUGCUGCUGCAUUUCCUGAAGUAUUUGGAUUGACGUGUCCCCGCCCCUGCCUAUUUGUACUUCUCAGUGUACUAUGUUUACUAUAGAUGUUGACGGAGAUUAGGAAGAUCUUGAAGCCACUGAUGAUUUGGAAAACGUAUGAUUAAGUUGCUGAGUGAUUAUGUAAUAUGCUUUGUUUGUUGAACCUGGACACUUGCUCUGCUCAUUUUGCUGGUUAAGCCACUAUAUGCUCAUUUUGGUUGUGGCACCCCUAGAAACAUAUGUACUUUCUCCUUUUGUGGCAAUACUUCAGUUUGGUUGUGGCACAUUUAACAUAUAUGUACUGUACCUUUUGUGGCAGAACCUCCUUAUGUAUAUAUGGAUAUUAUGUUUAUCUGAUGAUGUUUAAGGUUUUCUGGACGA